UACGAAGGGGGCUAGCGUUGUUCGGAAUUACUGGGCGUAAAGCGCGUGUAGGCGGGUCUUUAAGUCAGGGGUGAAAUGCCAAGGCUCAACCUUGGAACUGCCUUUGAUACUGGAGAUCUUGAGUCCGGGAGAGGUGAGUGGAACUGCGAGUGUAGAGGUGAAAUUCGUAGAUAUUCGCAAGAACACCAGUGGCGAAGGCGGCUCACUGGCCCGGAACUGACGCUGAGACGCGAAAGCGUGGGGAGCAAGCAGG
rnacentral:rRNA from 1 species